rnacentral:tRNA from 1 species
GGGCAAGUAGUUCAAUGGAAGAACGGCGGGUUCCGGUCCCGCAAGUGGGAGUUCGAUCCUCUCUUUGCCUACCA